UCCGUAGGUGAACCUGCGGAGGGAUCAUUACAGAGUUNUAAAAGACUCCCAAAACCAUUGUGAACGUACCCGUCAGCGUUGCCUCGGCGGGCGGCCCCUCCCUGGGGCCGCUGCCUCCCUCGGGGGGUGCCCGCCGGCGUACCAAAACUCUUUUGUAUUUUAGUGGCCUCUCUGAGAAAACAAGCAAAUAAGUUAAAACUUUCAACAACGGAUCUCUUGGUUCUGGCAUCGAUGAAGAACGCAGCGAAAUGCGAUAAGUAAUGUGAAUUGCAGAAUUCAGUGAAUCAUCGAAUCUUUGAACGCACAUUGCGCCCGCCAGUACUCUGGCGGGCAUGCCUGUUCGAGCGUCAUUUCAACCCUCAAGCCCUGCUUGGUGUUGGGGUCCUACGGCUGCCGUAGGCCCUGAAAGCUAGUGGCGGGCUCGCUAUAACUCCGAGCGUAGUAGUAAAAUAUCUCGCUAGGGAGGUGUCGCGGGUUCCGGCCGUGAAAGCCCAUC
rnacentral:rRNA from 1 species